CUUUUUGCAUCUCGAAAGGAAUUCAUAAUUGGUAACAUAAAAUUGAAUCCUUUUUGAAUUUUUGUGCUAUCUGAGAUGCCCUUUCUUAAAAACUAUAACAUAUUUUGUUACAUGUGCGUCAAAAGUGGUCUCUCUUGUGUUACUUUUUUGUCGAAAAAGUCGCCAAUUUCAGCACUUUAACAUUAUUGCAUAUAUAGUCCUUGUCCUUUAAAAGACAUAGAUUGUAGUAGAAACAUUCCAACACGAUUUUUGUCAGCAUGUUUAUUAUAACACUAGUAAUCACGUCAUUUGGCGACACGCAUAUAGUAACUCUCGCAGAAUUGCCGACGCUUCGUUGUUUUUGCGAAUCUACCCUAACCUGUCAAUUUGUAACACUCAAAGCACUUAAAGGGCUAAUACACAUUGACACGAAUAACAAAAACUAUGGUGUGUAACACAAGUAGUUGUUCUUUGACAUUUAUGUCAAAAAGACUAAUUUACGCCUUCGUUACAUAUUAAUGUACUAUUUUUUAUAUUAAUUUUAUUGCUAUAAACUUCUAUUUUCAAGACAACAACAUUUUCAAAUAUUUAAUGCUAAAUUAUUUGCAGUUAUCGUAUAAAAAAGGCAAUAGAAAUUUACACUCGAAGUAUUAAUCUCGAAAACAAAAAUUUGGUUGAUAAUAGUUUUAUUUACGGUGUACAUAUUCAUCGAAAAGCAAUGCUGUUUUCCGAUUAUUUAGUAUCUAACUUUGAGAUGUCAUUUAUGUUUCAAGUAAUAUUUGGAGUAUCUGCUUUGAGUCUUAACAUUUUCCAAAUACGAAGUCCGGUGGUACGAAACUCCUCUAUAUAUACAAAAAUUAAUACAAUUUUUGUUAUUAAGAGGCAACAAAGCUUUUGGUUUGAAAAUUGGUAAAAUGCCCGUGGGAUCCUUACCAUGUUUUGCUACGGUAUAAAACAUUUCACAUAUGUCAUAAUAUAUUAUAUUUUAAGAUAUUCUAAGAUAAGAAAAUAAAACUGUUGUUUUUUGUUAUAGCUAACAAAUGCGUCCUUGUCUUAUUUUAUUGCCAUGAAUUCUAUUAAAAAUUGAUAGAAGUUAUGAUCAAUCAAUGUACAUUAUUAAAAUGUAAAAUGGGCAAAGAAUAUUUUGUUUAAUCAAAUAGAAUGUAAUAAAUAUAUAAUAAAUAUAUAAAUAUGUAAAUAAAAAUACAAAUGUGUAUAUGAAGAGACACGGCAUUGUCUUGCAGCAAGUGAACGCGCAGCACGAGACCACACUGUGUUAUACGCAAGUACACGGUUUGCAAGCAUCCGAGAUUAUCAGAUCUCAAUAACGAUUGAAUCGAUCGAGUUGUAACUCAAUCGAAAACGUGAGUUUAAUUUGUAUUAAAAAACUGUUUACCAUAUAUAUUUUUUAUUUACAUGCCCUAUGAGGAAAAAUAUCGUAAUGCAAAAUCCAAAAUAUAGAUUUUUUUAUUUAAGACGUUAUACAAAAGUAAGACGUCAUUCAAAAGCUUUGUCUUGGAUUUGAUUUUUUUCCUUAAAGGAAAAUAUCACUUAGGUUGAUAAAGGAAAACUCCACAACUUGGCGCAUUUUUUUACCUUUUUUAAAAAGGUAAUUUUGUUUUGGAUACUGUUUAACGACAAAAAGAUCUUGUUGCUAUUAUUAUUGCUUGUACACUGCAAAUUUGUACAUUUAUUGUGUACUUAUUUAACACUAAUAACAACACAACAAGUAUUACGAAACUGGUGAGUGCGUCCAUUAAUCAAUGACGAGAAGAAGUAGAAUUUUAUUCUAACCUCGUAUCUGAAAUAUUCUCGUAAGCUCAUGAAAAAUUUUUUGCAUUUAGUCGUAUGUGGUCUGAACCAUUUAAUACUCCAUUAACAAUAUUACAUCAUCUCUAAAAAGCCGAAGACGACCACUAGUGACCCGGACCGAAUCGGAACUGGAACCGAUAACCAUUUUAUAACUAGUUUUUUAGCCAGACCAUAACCGUAAAUCGUACACCAUAACCAUGUUCUGUUAAAUUUACAGCACCAAAACCAUAAUCGAAACAAUUAAAUUAUUUUUGUUUUACGAUUUUUUGGGUAUAUUUUUUUGUUUCUUACAAUUUACUUUUACAUAAUUUUUAUAUUUCUAAUGCCGAAAUUUCUUGACAAACAUGAUUAUUUAGCAAAUGUCGCAUUAUUAACGUAUAAUUUUUAAUGUUUUUAUAUUUUAAACUAUUUUAAAGAUAUAGAAAACAAAUAUUAUUCCAAGAAGAUACCAAAUAUUUUGACACUUGAGAUAUGCACAUGUAUUGUUUCAAAAUAUGAAAAGUGAACAUGGGUAAUAGAUUGUGACGUAACAGCUGCGGGCUGUCGUACGUUACAAAAGCUUUAGCUACUCUUAGGGUAAACUCGAGUAAGAUGGCCAUAAUUUUUUUAAAUGCAAAGAACAUACUUUUAUUUUUAUUAUUUUUUAAUAGCGUUUGGUAUAUUAAUUCACUAAAGAUUUAAGCAUGUAAAACUAUCAACAUUAAAGAAAAAAUACUUAAUAAAAAUUUUUUAUUAUUAAAAUUUAAUACAUGAACAUUGGCCAUCUUUUACAACUUUUAAAGAAAAGAUGA